rnacentral:rRNA from 1 species
GACGAACGCUGGCGGCGUGCUUAACACAUGCAAGUCGAACGGAAAGGCCCUGCUUUUGUGGGGUGCUCAAGUGGCGAACGGGUGAGUAACACGUGAGUAACCUGCCCUUGACUUUGGGAUAACUUCAGGAAACUGGGGCUAAUACCGGAUAGGAGCUCCUGCUGCAUGGUGGGGGUUGGAAAGUUUCGGCGGUUGGGGAUGGACUCGCGGCUUAUCAGCUUGUUGGUGGGGUAGUGGCUUACCAAGGCUUUGACGGGUAGCCGGCCUGAGAGGGUGACCGGCCACAUUGGGACUGAGAUACGGCCCAGACGCCUACGGGCGGCAGCAGUGGGGAAUAUUGCACAAUGGGCGGAAGCCUGAUGCAGCAACGCCGCGUGCGGGAUGACGGCCUUCGGGUUGUAAACCGCUUUCGCCUGUGACGAAGCGUGAGUGACGGUAAUGGGUAAAGAAGCACCGGCUAACUACGUG